rnacentral:rRNA from 1 species
UACGUAGGGGCUAGCGUUAUCCGGAAUUACUGGGCGUAAAGGGUGCGUAGGUGGUUUCUUAAGUCAGAGGUGGAAGGCUACGGCUCAACCGUAGUAAGCCUUUGAAACUGGGAAACUUGAGUGCAGGAGAGGAGAGUGGAAUUCCUAGUGUAGCGGUGAAAUGCGUAGAUAUUAGGAGGAACACCAGUUGCGAAGGCGGCUCUCUGGACUGUAACUGACACUGAGGCACGAAAGCGUGGGGAGCAAACAGGAUUAGAUACCCGGGUAGUCCCUGAGCGGG